rnacentral:rRNA from 1 species
UACGAAGGGUGCAAGCGUUAAUCGGAAUUACUGGGCGUAAAGCGUGCGUAGGCGGUUAUUUAAGUCUUUUGUGAAAUCCCCGGGCUCAACCUGGGAAUGGCAAUGGAUACUGGAUAGCUAGAGUGUGAUAGAGGAUGGUGGAAUUCCCGGUGUAGCGGUGAAAUGCGUAGAGAUCGGGAGGAACAUCAGUGGCGAAGGCGGCCAUCUGGAUCAACACUGACGCUGAGGCACGAAAGCGUGGGGAGCAAACAGG